GGGCAAAUGCCAAAGCAAUUGACCUCAAUUGCAUUUGCAGUAUUAGAAAAAAUACAGAAGUCUCCUAUUCAGCACUGCCAAUAAUUUCUGUCAUUAAAAAGGGUGAGUACAAUACAAUGAAGGUCUCACUUCAUCUAUGUUGCUCCAUAAAUAAUGCCUCCUAUUUAUUUCCUUGGAAACUACAAGAGAUACAAAGAGCACAGUAACGUUAUUUGAUAGAGAAAAUUCUCAGCUACAAAACACUAUUUUUCAGCAUAGUCACCACAGUUAGCUGUGCCUUUUCACCAGCAAUGAGAAGAGCUUUUGUGCUGUGCUUGUAAGAAUCUGUGCUAGCGGAGGUGACCCACUCUUACUGUCACUGCUGGUGAAACGCAGCACCCACUGCCUCACUGUGCUCACACCCACUGUCUGGUAUCUGUUAACAUUCAGCAAGUGUUAAUGAAUCCCAAUAGGUGCAAUUCCUCAUGGAGGAAUUCAGUUACAUACCUUUGCUUCAUAUGCACUUCCAUGUCAGAUGCCAUUCUAUCAGACUGCCCCUCUGCUGCCAUCUGUCACACGACAACACAGGGUAAUGAAUACUGGCAGGAAGGUUCAACCUCUACUGCUUUACCUCCAACAUCCACCUCUAACAUUGUGGGCCAGCAUGAUAAAAUAGGAAGCAUUACUUUUGUAGCAGUCCUUGCACGUACUUGCUCCCUAGCUUCACCAAAUUUGUGUUUCAGAAGCAGUAUGGAGCAGAACAGUCAUCACCACUCCACAUAACCUCAUGGACUGCUUUUGUCAAGGGGACUAUGCAGUUACCUCCAAAGUAGGACUAUUUCAUCCAGCUUUUGCUCGUUAAUGACAUUCUGUACAGUUAGGUAAUGUAUUUACUCACUGGUAUCAAGCUGAUAAGCACCUGUCAACUACCUGCCCCAAAAUGGGUGUAUUAUGUUGCCUACUUCCACCUGGGUCAGCAUAAAAAGCAAAUGCUGUCACACACUGAGCAAAGACACCUACCAUUUAGAGCAGCGCCCUGCACUAUGUGGCCUAGAAAAUACCAGGGCUGUGUAGGUUAAGAGCCUGUGAUAGCAAACUGGCCACGCUGAUUGCAUCAGUUGCACUGUGAGCUAUAUAAAAGUGUUUUCCAGAUUACAUAUCUCCAUAGGUUAUGCUGUCAUUAUAAGGAACUGCAUUUACGCAGUAGGGGAAUUUGAGUUGGAAAUGUGACACUGCUAGUAAAAAGGUGAACUGGAACAAAAAUUACCCUGGAAAGAAGCACCUUUCAUUUCAAAGAAUCUGUACUAAGCCUGAAGAGAGCAAAUAAUGAGCAAUGAAAGGAGUCUUUGUUAUGCUGUGAUUUCAAAGCUCUGCCAAAAUGUCAAAUAAUCCAUUUAAUCAAUCAGAAAAUUAAAGAAUGUGGUAAAUUCCCAAGGUAGUUUGAGAUUUUAGCUGUGCCAAGUAAUUCAGCUACUGCAUAAAGCUUAUGUCACAAUAGCAAUUACUUAAUAAGUAAUUUUUGUCUAACCAUGUUGAUGUAAAAAUACAAUUUAGUUUUCAAAUUAUUUGCAGCUGUGCUCUGAUAUGGAUACAGCUUGCAGUACCUCAGGAGAUGUUUACAUUUGUCACUUCAAGCACUGCUUUAAUCUAAUUUUUAUCACACUAUAGCCUUUAAAAAGUUCCUGUUACCUCAACGCACUAAGAAAUUGAUUUCUUAAAAUGGGUCUUCAUGAGAUAACAUAAGAAAAGGAAGGAACUAUCUGUUGAUUCACAUAGAAGUUUCAUUAUACGCUUCUGAUACCAGCUCCAAAACUCCUAUAGUUUCAAAUAUCAAUUCUUUAUAAUGUUUGCUUUUCAAACUUGACUAUUUGUUUCAGGACUGAGUUUAAUGCUCUUAAGAAUCCUAGAUUAUCACCAUUUAAGAUCUGAAAAUGUGAAACAGGCUACGCUGAACAUUUUUUAUGUUGUAGGCUGUGUUUUUCUAUCCCUCUCAAAGGACAAAUUUGACAGAGCUGUUAAAAGUGCAGAUUUUUGCUUUUAGCAGUCCUAAUGAAAUCACAGAUCCAUUUUGUCAAUGUGAAAUUAAACAUCAAUAUGUUAUUUUUAAAAAAGUUUUGAUGAGUAUUUAGAUGCAUUGCAUUGGUUUGGAAAACUUGAGAAUACUUUUAUUGUCAGCCAAAAUAAUUCACUACUACUGCAUAAAGAUGGCUAAGUUCAGCUGAAGUCGAAUAAGCCUUAAUUUUAAAUCAGACUAUUUUAGGUUUGGUUCUGCAUACAGAUUUCCAGGACUUUUUAUUUUAUUUUUUUUUCUGAAUGUUUUUGUGUUUUAUUUUAAAGAGCUGCACCUAUAUUUAUCAGUAACAAUAUGGACAAUCUCUUUUUCUUCCAUAUUUUUAAAAAAUUGAAAUGCUCACAGGAAAGAAUCACAAACUCCUUUAAAUAUAUAUUUUCACUACAGGUUUGUGGGGUUUUUUUUUGUUUUUUUUUUUGUUUUGUUUUUUUUUAAAUAAGCAUUCAGUGUAACAAACAAAGCCUGACUUGCAUUCAUGACAGCAGGCGGUGAGUGUCUUUGUGAUCCUGCAGCCUAUUAGCAUGAUCUCCUUCAGUGGCCGGAUGAAUAGCGACCUUCCUUUCAGAAGCCACAGUGAGUUUUACAAAAGCAUCUGUGCAGAGGAGGGCUGGAAAGAAUCCAGAGUCAUGCAGCUUUCACCAACUCACUGAUCCUUUCUUUGGUUCUCUAUCUCUGCUGCUUAUCAACCUCUCUCUGUCCCCCUGCCUCGCAUUUCCCAGGACAAAGACUGGACAAAGACUAGCAUGAAGAUAGUAGAAGCAUCCUGCAGAAAUGAAUUGAAAUGGGCCAUAAGUUGAGAACUCCUCAGGGUGCACUCAGCUUCUUCAAAAAUUCAAGGACUUUGGCCAAAGAAUAAGCACCAAGUUGGUAACGAUUGACUACAGGUGGUCUUCAGAUUUUAACAGACUGGGGCAUCUCCUUGCAUUCCCCUUCCAAUGUCCUUCUAGAGCACAAGUGCUUCCAGGGUUGAAGAACCAGGGAAAUAUCCUCCUCAUUGCAUUUCCUUAUGGGGACAGGAAGAAUUAGCAUACAGACUUGGAGCCGUACAUGAAAUAAGAAAAAUAACAGUGCUUUUUGUCCAAAAUAUUUUUAAGAGAGAACUACUGCUUUCUGUAAUGAUUCUUCUAGUUAUCCUACUUGCUAGAGUUCUAAAAGUAACCUAGCUAAUUCCUUCAAAAUGCUAUUCCAGGUUGAUUAAAUCAACUAAAAAUUUAGGUCCAACCAAAGCAUUUUCAUUUCAAACCUGAAAAAAAAUCCUCUUGAAAAGUUCAUUUAUUCAAGCAAGUAGAAAUAUGGAGCCUGAACUCUACCCAGAACUAUUCAUAAUGGGUAGCAACACAAUAAGAGGCAAAUUUAUGUGGAUAUAAAAAAUGGACUUCAUUCUGAAAAUAUGCAUAUUUUCCAUGGGGGGAAAAAAAAAGCUAUUUUCAUUUUAGAAAUGUCUGCUAAGGAGUAGCAAACCAGAAACAAUUGCCAUCCAUGUUAUAAAAGGGGAGAGAAAUAUCAAAACUCACAUAACAUUUGCCAGAUGGCCAAGUUACGGGUGAUAGUUUGUAAUUAAAAAGAGUAUAAGGGAGAAGGAUUGAAAGUAAUACAUUGUGUACAGUGUUUUUUGAGAAAUCAAGAAAUCAACCACACUGACAAGGCAACUUACAAGCUAACCCUAGGAAUUAAAAUGAUGCUGAAUUAUUUGGUCAGAAAAACUUACUUAUCUCUAUGCACAUAGAUCCUUCUACCCACCGACCAGUCAACUGAAAUAGCAGCUCAACUUCUUGUCAUAUAAUGCUAAGCUUCAUUUUCCAAAGUCCAGCAUAGUGUUGUGGAUGAAGUCAACUGAUUCUUCCAUCAGCCAGGCAAUGACAGUGCUAGGAGAACAGGAGUGACGAAAAUAGAGUUUAACUGCAAUCUACGAUUAAACUGGAUGAAAUGGAGAAAAAGAAUACAGGAGAGCAUCUGAAACUGUCUAAAGAACUUUGUCCUAGGUUUCUGGUAAGUAAUCACCAUAUCCAAAGUAAACAUUGAAAACAUCUGGGGGCAAAUGAUGAAGACAGUUUUUAUCUUAACCAAAUACAAAGUUGAAAGACAAGACCGGAUUAUUCUCUUGGCAGUUCAUCCUGGAUACUUUUGGAAGCAAUUCUGUUAAAACAUAAAAGGCAAAUACUUUGCUUUCUAGCAGAAAUCUGCAAGUAACUUGUUUUGCAAAGUUUUACACAUUUUACUUCACGUGACAUCAUGUGUGUAAGCCAAAGGCUGAAAUAAUUGCUGCACCGUGUCUGUGAAUUUGUCAAGGUCCAACUUUUCUGAGUGCUAUUUGAUUUAAUCUAGAAAUCUAAAUUUAGGGGAAAGGAAAGGGGAAUAUGCUUCCUUCCUAAUUAUUUCUUGAACUUUACACCAAAUGAGGCCCUGAGUUACUAUAACAAGAACAUACUUUUUAGCAGGGGAAAAAAAAUAAAGCCACACGGGAGAGAAAUAAUGAAGGAGUCAAAGUACAAAAAAUCAAUAGUUUUAUUAGUAUAUUUUUCAGACAAAGAAUACAUAAUUAAAAUUGUAAAUAGUUGUAGCAGAACAAACAGCCUACUCAAAAAUAUUCCCAAAGGAAACUGGUACCCAAAGAGCCAAGCAGAGUGGUAAGGCACUAUGUGGAAUGGCAGCAAUGCAAAUAAAUUGUCAAGGAUUGUUUUCUGCUCUCAACACUAUCAGCCUUUAUCUCAGUUCCAGAAUGAGAAAAGAUCAUGCACUUUCAAAAGCAAGUAAGAGGGGAAAGAGAAUUCUUUGUCAAUCCCCAGAUCAUCUCUCAGAUUUGCUCUUGAACAUGGAAAUAAAGAACCUGGAUCACUAGCUAACAGGGUAGACCUUGCUUUGUUCUGUCUGUAAUUUUCAAGCAUUUACAAAUCAUUGGAUUUUCUUGAUAUUCAUUUUGGCAUUUGUUUAUUAUACACAUUAAAUUCUUAACUUAGUGUUUCAUAUACAGUGUUAUCUUUAGAAGAAUAUGAAAGAUGUAUGAACGGUAUAAACACCAAACACUGAUGUGAAGAUGGAUCAGCUCAUUAGAAACUGAUUUCCUCUCAUCAAACUACAUGAGUAAGAGAUGAAGAAAGAAAAUGAAUAACAUGGUAGUCAACAUGGUGGCAUACUAAAUCAUCUUCCAAUCAUUCUCAAUAACUCUACAACUACAGCAUGCUAUUCUGAUGGCCCCAUCUGAGUUGAUGAUUUUUCACAAUGUAUUUCAUGGCUUCCAUCCCUACAUGAGACUUUAUUACUAUCACAUAGGAAUAAAAAGCCAUAAAACACUAGAGUGAAUUUAUCUUGAUCAGAUGCAAUACUUAUUUUCUUCACAUGAUUUCACCACCACUCCAAAACUAACCAAUAAUUUCAUGCUAUAUUACUGAACAUUUGAAACUACAUUUCAAUGACAAGAAACACACUGAAAUGGUUACAUCACAAAUUAACAGAGCUUUAGCCUUUAAACACAUUCCUACCUACGAGAAUCAAGAAACAAUCACAACACACAACCAUUUAAUCCACUGAUAAAAGACAAGACACCACAGAAAAAUGUCACUUCCACAUACAUCUUUCAACACAUAAGGAAAGACGAGACAAAAUAGAAUCUGGUAUAGGUUAAGGCUUUGAAAGCACCACUACCAGCAUCUUAUUAAAAUUCUUUGCCAUGGUGGCUUCCUGGCAUGCAUUAUAAAAAAUGCAGAGACAAUCACUAAGAAAUCUUUAAGACAUCUGAGCUUAAGUAGAGAAACAAAGCAAAACUCUCUACUUAUGGCACUGAAACAGCUACUACCACAGAGCUGCUAGCUGAUAUGGCUCCUAGUCCCUGGGACUGCUAUAUUCUGGGCUAUGAGCUAUUUACUAUAGCUCCAAAGUCCCUAUUUCUCUCAGUCAAAGACAAAAUGAGACAAAUUAUAAUAUGCCCUUAUUUUCUUAGCCAGACUAUGAUACUGAGGUCCUGGUCUGAAAACAGUUAUUUAUUAAUGUAAUUACUGUUCAUCUUCUUAUUACUACUAAUUGGCCAAGUUGAAACACAAGUCUCCAGGGUCAUUGAAAAGUCAAUACAAUAAUUUAACUGCCAUUUGAAAAUAAUUUUGCUUGCACACUUGCAAGCAAACUAAGCUGCAUCAGAAAUUGUUAAGCUAAAAGCCUUCACCAAAAAUAUUUUAUAUUUUUCCAGCCAUGUACCCCCCUUGCAUGAUACCAAAAUGAACAGUGAUGUACAGUUGACACUAGAACUAAAAAUUAACUGAGCUUUGAUUUAUAUACUGCUACUCUUUCUUGCCUACCAAAUCCUAUUUCUUGCAAAAUAUGAUGUUGAUAGCAUAGAAAAGAGCAAGAAAUCAUUAAAUGAAAGGAAGUGCAUAAAUAAAUUCAAUUAUCAUGCAUAAAACAUGCAAAUGAUUUAAAGACUGCAUAUGAAACUCUAGUUUAUAUUCAUUAAUCUCAGGUUGCACUUUUGAGGGAGAAAGAGACACUAAUUGGGUCCAGAUUAAUGCACUCCCAAACCUUCCAAUUUGUUUUUAGGUGAAGGUUAAAUGAGAUGUGUUAAAAUAAACACAGCUGCUCACAUCCCCAAAUCUCUAUCAUUUGUGGGAAAAAUAAAAAAAUGGAAAGUAUAUUGCAGGCUUAGUGUAACUGAGAAUUAGGCCUUUCCUGGGGACCUCAGAAUUGCCAUUUGCCUACUGCAACUUUUUAUAAAACCUUUCCCCAGGAAGAUAAAUUUGUGCUGAAAAUUUGUCCAAACAUCAAGCUAGGCACAUGAUACAGACAACAGGGUGGAAGGGCUUUUAUUUGUCUAAAUCCUGUUAUGUUUUCCUCCCUUACUCCAAAGGAUGCUGCUGACAUCUCAAAUGCCAUGAAGAAGUCACUGUAAGAACUGGCUCAGCCACAACCUGGCACAUUGCUGCCACACAACUCAGUGCAAUAGGAAACAAGGCCUCACAAGAUGGCUCAAAGGGCUCAAAUUUGUUCAAUCAGACAGCAGAAAAGCAACAUAUAAUGGAAAAAACUCCUCCAACCCACUGGCUGCACCAGGCUGCACUGUUCCUUGGCACCCAGGGAGUCCAGUGAAUCAGCUAGAGAUGGAAAUAGUGCUCCUCCAACUGCCCCAUCUCACUAGCUGUCAACCCCUACCUACCCAGGGCUAGUCCAGCCCCAGAAGAAAGGAAGGUGUAGGGGAAAGGGGAUGGACCUUUGGUCCAGAAACAAAGAACAACAGAAGGGGCCAUUCCCAACCUUUGACAAAGGAAGUCUAAAUGAAAUAAACAACAGUAACAACAACAAAAAGUCACCAAACUAAUUUCACACUGAAAACAAUGAAUUUGGAUGAGAGGCUCCAAGGGGAAAGGUUAAAAUGUUGUCAGUGACGUAAUUACUCUUCCCUUUUGUUAAAAGACACUGGAAAUAGAAUCCCUCCAAUAUAAUGGAACACAUAUGUACAAGAUGGGAUGCAUCUGAAUUCUUAUAUUUCUCUGAUUGAUUUUAAAAUGUUUUCCUCUUGAACUAACGACAUUACACAAUGAAAGCACAAAAACACAUACAUGUAGACUUAGACAUAUAUUCACAAACAUGGUUUCAGACACAGAUCCACUUCUGCUGACAGCCUGAUUCGGUGAGCUUUUUAUUAAAAUUAAUUUUUGCACUUGCAGUUGCUAUAUUAGCUGCAAUAAAUAACAACAAUAAGGCUGAAAUCUGUCAACAUCUUGACAAAUAUUCAAAGAGCUGUUUAGGUAGGAAAUAUGCUUAUGAUAUUCAUUGCUCCUAAAAGAGAAAAUGAUUAUACAGUAACUAAACCCUAAGUAAGAGCUAAAGAUAUUCACCUCAUGAAGCCAUUGCUCAACUAGCCCCUUGGCACUUGCUGGAAUUAUUCACAGCACGAGCUCUACUUUUUCAUUUUCUGCUGACUCCAUGUGGGUAAUUUCUUUCUCAUGAUUAAAAGUGAGCUUGGCAAUUCCUUCAAAGCAUUUCUUUAGGUGUGGCUGGAUGUGGAGUGGAUCCUUUGUCUCAGAAAGGAUUCUUGAAAGAUCAUUGCUGCACUGAAAAAAAAAAAAAAAUCACACACAAAAAAAACCUGAAAAUGAUUUAAAAAAAAAAGAUUAAAAAAAAGAAAUUUAUAGGUAUUUACACAAACAGUUUUUAUACCACCACCACCAACAGACAGAUGCAAUGGACUGUUUACCUUGGAAAGAAUAGUCUUUUCUUCCCCAAAUAAUCAUUCAAGGCCUUCCUGAAUGUCAUCCAAAAGCGAUUCUGCCUCUUCCAACUUAUCCAGCAUCUGGGGCUGCGAGAUAACCCUCAUGGCAUUGGUCUCCUUCACUGACUCCUUCGUUAUUAGCC
rnacentral:lncRNA from 1 species